GACGAACGCUGGCGGCGUGCUUAACACAUGCAAGUCGAACGGGUCUGCCCUGUUUUUUGCGGGGUGGGUCAGUGGCGAACGGGUGAGUAACACGUGAGUAACCUGCCCCUCACUUCUGGAUAACCGCUUGAAAGGGUGGCUAAUACGGGGUGUUCUGGCUGUGCCGCAUGGUGUGGCUGGGAAAGAUUCACUUUUGUGGUGUUUUGGAGGGGGAUGGGCUGGCGGCCUAUCAGCUUGUUGGUGGGGUGAUGGCCUGCCAAGGCUUUGACGGGUAGCCGGCCUGGGGGGGUGGGCGGUCACGCUGGGACUGAGAUACGGCCCAGACUCCUGCGGGAGGCAGCAGUGGGGGGUAUUGCACAAUGGGCGGAAGCCUGAUGCAGCGACGUCGCGUGAGGGAUGGAGGCCUUCGGGUUGUGAACCUCUUUCGCCGGUGAAGAAGGUCCUGCUCUUUGUGGUGGGGUUGACGGUAGCCGGGUUAUGAAGCGCCGGCUAACUACGUG
rnacentral:rRNA from 1 species